CAGUCGCCACGGUAAUACGGAGGGAGCUAGCGUUGUUCGGAAUUACUGGGCGUAAAGCGCGCGUAGGCGGUUACUCAAGUCAGAGGUGAAAGCCCGGGGCUCAACCCCGGAACUGCCUUUGAAACUAGGUGACUAGAAUCUUGGAGAGGUCAGUGGAAUUCCGAGUGUAGAGGUGAAAUUCGUAGAUAUUCGGAAGAACACCAGUGGCGAAGGCGACUGACUGGACAAGUAUUGACGCUGAGGUGCGAAAGCGUGGGGAGCAAACAGGAUUAGAUACCCCCGUAGUCCCUGUCUCUUAUAU
rnacentral:rRNA from 1 species